UACAGAGGGGGCGAGCGUUAUUCGGAAUCAUUGGGCGUAAAGGGCGCGUAGGCGGCCGUGCAAGUCUUGGGUGAAAUCCCUCGGCUCAACCGAGGAACUGCCCUGGAAACUGCACGGCUCGAGGCCGGGAGAGGAUGGUGGAAUUCCCAGUGUAGCGGUGAAAUGCGUAGAUAUUGGGAGGAACACCGGUGGCGAAGGCGGCCAUCUGGACCGGUCCUGACGCUGAGGCGCGAAAGCGUGGGGAGCAAACAGG
rnacentral:rRNA from 1 species